rnacentral:rRNA from 1 species
GACGGAAGGUGCAAGCGUUGCUCGGAAUCACUGGGCGUAAAGCGCACGUAGGCGGCUUUUUAAGUCGGUGGUGAAAUCCUGGAGCUCAACUCCAGAACUGCCUCCGAUACUGAAAGGCUCGAGUCCGGGAGAGGUGAGUGGAACUGCGAGUGUAGAGGUGAAAUUCGUAGAUAUUCGCAAGAACACCAGUGGCGAAGGCGGCUCACUGGCCCGGUACUGACGCUGAGGUGCGAAAGCGUGGGGAGCAAACAGG